UUGAACGCUGGCGGAAUGCUUUACACAUGCAAGUCGAGCGGCAGCGCGGGGGCAACCCUGGCGGCGAGCGGCGAACGGGUGAGUAAUGUAUCGGAACGUACCCUGUCGUGGGGGAUAACACAGCGAAAGCUGUGCUAAUACCGCAUACGACCUGAGGGUGAAAGCGGGGGAUCGCAAGACCUCGCGCGAUAGGAGCGGCCGAUAUCGGAUUAGCUUGUUGGUGAGGUAAAGGCUCACCAAGGCGACGAUCCGUAGCUGGUCUGAGAGGACGACCAGCCACACUGGAACUGAGACACGGUCCAGACUCCUACGGGAGGCAGCAGUGGGGAAUUUUGGACAAUGGGGGCAACCCUGAUCCAGCCAUUCCGCGUGAGUGAAGAAGGCCUUCGGGUUGUAAAGCUCUUUCAGCAGGAACGAAACGGUGGCUACUAAUACUAGCUACUAAUGACGGUACCUGAAGAAGAAGCACCGGCUAACUACGU
rnacentral:rRNA from 1 species